rnacentral:rRNA from 1 species
AAGGAGUAAGGUGUGAGAAUACACGAGCGGCGGACGGCUGAGUAACGCGUAGGAACGUACCCCAAAGUGAGGGAUAAGCUCCGGAAGCGGAGUCUAAUACCGCAUAAUAUCUUCGGAUUAAAGCUUUUAGCGCUUUGGGAGCGGCCUGCGUAUGAUUAGCUUGUUGGUGAGGUAAUGGCUCACCAAGGCGAUGAUCAUUAGCUGGUCUGAGAGGAUGAUCAGCCAGACUGGAACUGAGACACGGUCCAGACUCCUACGGGAGGCAGCAGUUGGGAAUUUUCCACAAUGGGCGAAAGCCUGAUGGAGCAACGCCGCGUGCAGGAUGAAGGCCUUCGGG